rfam:Camelus ferus unplaced genomic scaffold scaffold1443, whole genome shotgun sequence.
GAGGGUAUAGCUCAAAUAGUAGAGCACAUGCUUAGGAUGCAUGAGGUCCUGGGUUCAAUCCCUAGUACCUCCU